rnacentral:rRNA from 1 species
AUGCACGCCUUCCUGGGCCGCCUCUACGACUCGGCCAAGCGCUCCCUCUCGGGCGCCCGCCCCUGGCCCGAGCUCCUGGACCGUGCCGUGCUCUCGCGCCCGGACUCCCUCUUCAACGCCACCGCCCGCCUCCGCAAGAACUUCGCCUACUUCCGCGUCAACUACGCCGUGCUUGUCACGCUCUCCCUCCUCGCGCACCCCUUCUCCCUCGUCGCCCUCCUCGCGUUCCUCGCCGCCUGGUGCUUCCUCUACCUCCUCCGCCCCGCUCAACGCCUUUGGCCGCACCUUCUCCAACCCCACCGAUGCGGCGACCCUGCCGGAGGAGGCAGCGGCGCUCCCCAUGGCCGGGGCGAAGCUGGAGAGGAUGCAGCCUCUGGAGUGGCCCCAGAGGGACACUCUCUGCGACGAGCUCGGGGCGGGCGAUGCCGGGCGCCGGGUCCGGCUCUACGGCUGGGUCGCCCUCCGCUGCUCCCAUGCUGGCCUCACCUUCUUCACCCUCCGCGACUCCUCCAUCAUGGUCCAGGUGACCGACUGAUGCACCGCGGCCUGCCUCCCAUGGCGCGCCCCCGCCCCGAACCCAUUGACCGCGAGAAGUUCAUCCAGGCCUCCGCAACCCUAACGAUUGCGAGGACUGAUUCACUGAAUUCUUCUUGUGCAGACCUGCCCCCUCCGGCUCCGGGUUUUCACCAAGGCAAGGCCCAAUUGUCUCUUUUCUUCUACUCUUUCGUCUUCUUUUUAGCGCACCUGCAGUCAAGAGCGCAUUAUGAUAUCCUCAAUUUGCUUGGUCGAUUCGACCAUAUGGCACCUGUAGUUGAGCAGCACUUGAUCAGACUGCAGGUUGGUGGCCAUCACCUAAAUGAAGAAUUUUCUGGGAGAGGGAAGGAGCCAAAAGAUGAAGUUCAGAUUUACACGUGGAAGGAUGCCACACUCCGGGAGCUCAUUGUAGUUAAGUGA